rnacentral:rRNA from 1 species
UACGAAGGGGGCUAGCGUUGCUCGGAAUUACUGGGCGUAAAGGGCGCGUAGGCGGACAGUUUAGUCAGAGGUGAAAUCCCCAGGCUCAACUUGGGAACUGCAUCCGAUACUGGAUGGCUUGAAUUCGGGAGAGGGAUGCAGAAUUCCAGGUGUAGCGGUGAAAUGCGUAGAUAUCUGGAGGAAUACCGGUGGCGAAGGCGGCAUCCUGGACCGACAUUGACGCUGAGGAGCGAAAGCUAGGGGAGCAAACGGG